rnacentral:rRNA from 1 species
UACGUAGGGGGCGAGCGUUGUCCGGAAUCAUUGGGCGUAAAGAGCUCGUAGGCGGUUCAGUAAGUCGGCUGUGAAAUUCCGAGGCUCAACCUCGGAACUGCAGUCGAUACUAUUGUGACUAGAGUCCGGUAGAGGAGAAUGGAAUUCCCGGUGUAGCGGUGAAAUGUGCAGAUAUCGGGAGGAACACCAGUAGCGAAGGCGGUUCUCUGGGCCGGUACUGACGCUGAGGAGCGAAAGCGUGGGGAGCAAACAGG